rnacentral:tRNA from 1 species
ACCUGACUGGCUUAGUUGGUAGAAUGGGUGACUGUUGAUCUCAAGGUCAUGAGUUCAAGCCCCAUGUUUGGUA